rnacentral:rRNA from 1 species
UACGUAGGAGGCAAGCGUUGUCCGGAGUUACUGGGCGUAAAGCGCACGCAGGCGGUCUUGUCAGUCUGUAGGGACAGGGCACAGCUCAACUGUGUCAGGCUUAUGGAAACUGCAAGACUUGAGGGCUUCAGAGGGAUGGGGAAUUCCGGGUGGAGUGGUGAAAUGCGUAGAGAUCCGGAAGAACACCAAAGGCGAAGGCACCAUCCUGGGGAGUCACUGACGCUCGGGUGCGAAAGCUAGGGGAGCAAACAGG